rnacentral:rRNA from 1 species
GACGAACGCUGGCGGCGUGCUUAACACAUGCAAGUCGAACGGAAAGGCCCUGCUUUUGUGGGGUGCGCGAGUGGCGAACGGGUGUGUAACACGUGAGUAACCUGCCCUUGACUUUGGUAUAACUUCAGGAAACUGUGGCUAAUACCGGAUAGGAGCUCCUGCUGCAUGGUGGGGGUUGGAUAGUUUGGGGUGUUGGGGGUGGACUCGCUGCCUACCAGCUUGUUGGUGGGGGGGUGGCCUAACCAGGCUUUGGUGGGUAGCCGGCCUGAGUGGGUGACCGGACACAUUGGGUGUGAGAUGCGGCACAGACUCCUACGGGGGACAGCAGUGGGGUAUAGUGCACUAUGGGCGGAAGCGUGACGGAGCCGCGCCGCGUGCGGGAUAGCGGCCUGCGGGGUGUAAUCCGCUUGCGCCUGUGACGAAGCGGGAGUGACGGUAAUGGGUAAAGAAGCACCGGCUAACUACGUG